AGCGAACGCUGGCGGCAGGCCUAACACAUGCAAGUCGAACGAACCUUUCGGGGUUAGUGGCGGACGGGUGAGUAACACGUGGGAACGUGCCUUUAGGUUCGGAAUAACUCAGGGAAACUUGUGCUAAUACCGAAUGUGCCCUUCGGGGGAAAGAUUUAUCGCCUUUAGAGCGGCCCGCGUCUGAUUAGCUAGUUGGUUGAGGUAAUGGCUCACCAAGGCGACGAUCAGUAGCUGGUCUGAGAGGAUGAUCAGCCACAUUGGGACUGAGACACGGCCCAAACUCUUACGGGAGGCAGCAGUGGGGAAUCUUGCGAAAUGGGCGAAAGCCUGACGCAGCCAUGCCGCGUGAAUGAUGAAGGUCUUAGGAUUGUAAAAUUCUUUCACCGGGGACGAUAAUGACGGUACCCGGAGAAGAAGCCCCGGCUAACUUCGUG
rnacentral:rRNA from 1 species